UUUUAUGUUAUAUUAAAUAUUAUUAUUUUGUUUAUUUUAAUAUAAAUAAUUAAUAUUUUAAUAACAGAUUAAUAGUGUUUAACUAUUUGAGAGAGAGCGAUAACAGGUCUGUGAUGCCCUUAGAUGUCCGGGGCUGCACGCGCGCUACAAUGUAGUGAUCAUUAUGUUCCUGUUUAGAGAUAAAUGGGUAAACAUUGAAAACAUUACGUAACUGGGAGUGAAAAUUGCAAUUAUUUUUCAUGAACGAGGAAUUCCAAGUAAACGUAAGUCAUUAGCUUACAUUGAUUACGUC
rnacentral:misc_RNA from 1 species